rnacentral:rRNA from 1 species
GUUAAACGCUGGCGGCAUGCUUUACACAUGCAAGUCGAACGGCAGCACGGGAGCAAUCCUGGUGGCGAGUGGCACACGGGAGAGUAAUGUAUCGGAACGUACCAUUGAGUGGGGGAUAACGUAGCGAAAGUUACGCUAAUACCGCAUAUACCCUGAGGGGGAACGCAGGGGCUCGAAAGAACUUGCGCUCUUUGAGCGGCCGAUUUCAGAUUAGCUUUUUGGUGGUGUAAAGGCUCACAAAGGAGACGAUCUGUAGCGGGUCUGAGAGGAUGAUCCGCCACACUGGGACUGAGACACGGACCAGACUCCUACGGGAGGCAGCAGUGGGGAAUUUUGGACAAUGGGGGCAACCCUGAUCCAGCCAUGCCGCGUGCGUGAAGAAGGCCUUCGGGUUGUAAAGCGCUUUCGGACGGGAGGAAAUCGCACCGGCUAAUACCUUGUGUGGAUGACAGUACCGGAAUAAGAAGCACCGGCUAACUACGUGCCAGCAGCCGCCGUAAAAC